rnacentral:rRNA from 1 species
CCUACGGGUGGCAGCAGUGGGGAAUAUUGCACAAUGGGCGCAAGCCUGAUGCAGCCAUGCCGCGUGUGUGAAGAAGGCCUUAGGGUUGUAAAGCACUUUCAGCGGGGAGGAAGGCGGUGAGGUUAAUAACCUCAUCGAUUGACGUUACCCGCAGAAGAAGCACCGGCUAACUCCGUGCCAGCAGCCGCGGUAAUACGGAGGGUGCAAGCGUUAAUCGGAAUUACUGGGCGUAAAGCGCACGCAGGCGGUCUGUCAAGUCGGAUGUGAAAUCCCCGGGCUCAACCUGGGAACUGCAUUCGAAACUGGCAGGCUAGAGUCUUGUAGAGGGGGGUAGAAUUCCAGGUGUAGCGGUGAAAUGCGUAGAGAUCUGGAGGAAUACCGGUGGCGAAGGCGGCCCCCUGGACAAAGACUGACGCUCAGGUGCGAAAGCGUGGGGAGCAAACAGGAUUAGAUACCCUAGUAGUC